rnacentral:rRNA from 1 species
CAAUAGCGUAUACUAAUGUUGUUGCAGUUAAAAAGCUCGUAGCUGAACUUCUGGUAGGAGUGUCCCGGCCUUUUUGUUUUUACAAAUUGUAUGCUGUGUGACAUCUCUGGCCAUCCUUCUUCUUUGUUUAAAGAAGAUCUUUCACUGUAAAAAAAUUAGGGUGUUCAAAGCAAAAGUUUCUUUGGAAUAUAUUAGUAUGGGAUGAUAAGAUAGGCUCUAGAUGCUAUUUUGUUGGUUUGCACAUUUAGAGAAUGAUUAACAGGGACAGUUGGGGGUAUUCGUAUUUACAUGUCAGAGGUGAAAUUCUUGGAUUUUGGAAAGACGAACUACUGCGAAAGCAUUUACCAAGGAUGUUUUCAUUAA